GCUUAACCAGGAAUGGUAGCACACCUGUAAUAUCUACCUCUGGACAGCUGAAUCUGGAGGAUCUCUUCAGCUUGGGAGUUCUGAGCCGCAAUGGGCUAUUGUGACUGGAUAUCCACACUAAGUUCAGUACUAGAUGGUGAGCUGCCAGGAGUCACCAAGUUGCCCAAGAAGGGGUGAACUUGCCCAGGUCAGAAAUGGAACAGGUCAAAGUUCUUAUGCCAAUCAGUAGAGGAUCAGGCCAUGUCUAUUCUUGUACUUCCACCCUAAGAAAGAUAAGGAGACCCAGCCUUU
rnacentral:SRP_RNA from 1 species